AUUGAACGCUAGCGGCAGGCCUAACACAUGCAAGUCGAACGACUGGCGGACGGGUGAGUAAUGUCUGGGAAACUGCCCGCUGGAGGGGGAUACGUACUGGAAAAGCUAGCUAAUACUGCAUACCGUCGGAUCGGCCCAUAUGUGAUUAGCUUGUAGGUGAGGUAACGGCUCACCUAGGAGACGAUCCCUAGCUGGUCUGAGAGGACGACCAGCCACACUGGAACUGUGCCACGGGCCAGACUCCUACGGUGGGAAGCAGGGGGGAAGUUUGCACAAUGGGGGCAAGCCGGAUGCAGCCAUGCCGCGUGUAAGAAGAAGGCCUUCAGGUUGUAAAUUACUUUCAGCGGGAAGGCGUUACCCGCAGAAUAAGCACCGGCUAACUCCGUGCCAGCAGCCGCGGUAAUUC
rnacentral:rRNA from 1 species